rnacentral:sRNA from 1 species
GCUGGGUGCGAUGGCAAACACCUGUAAUCCCAGCAUCUGGGGAGGCUGAGACAGGAGGAUCGUGGGUUCAAAGCCAGGCUCAGCAAUGGCGAGGUGCUAAGCAACUCAGUGAGACCCUGUCUCUA